CAUUUGCAGCCAUUCUGGCAUUUGUGUGUCUCCGGAGGCACCCCGAGAGUUCGCCCCUGCGCAGCAGCCAUGUGGGACCAGCAGCCACCUGUGGUCCUGGAGGCCUGUGAGCUCUGACUGUGGGCCCCAGCUGAGGUGCAGCCUGUAAAACAAGAUAAGCUGGCUGGGUGGUGCAAAAGGAUGGACUGGCAUGGCACGAAACGUCUGGACACUGGCCUUAUUUCUGGGCCUGCUGAAGAUACUGAAACUGAGGCUCCGACGAGUUGCUUGCUCAAGGUCUCAGCAGAUGAAUAAAAGGACAACUUAUGGAGCAAUUUUUACCUGAUGCCAAAAUUCAUUUGUGUUACACUGUCACCUCCUAUAUUCUCAUUUUAAAGCUAUUUUAAAUGAGUCAUAAAUAAUAAGAAGAUUUAUUAAGAAGAGAGAUCAAUUCCAUUUAUAGUUCUAGGGAGUAUCAGUCCCUAAACCCUUCCCAGUCACUUCUGCUCUUUUUUAUCAUACAUUUUAUUUUAAUCAUCAAUCUAUACAGUCACAUUCCUUUUUUUCCUGUACACUUAUUUUUAUCCCACCUUUCCUCUUGGGUUUCUUUAUAUAUUAGAAAAUGGCUAUUUACUUAUAUAAAUGUGGCUAUAUGAAAGGACUAACAUCUGGUGUGAGAAUAGAUUAGGUUUAGAUAACAGGAGAAAAUAUAGGCAAAGUAUGCCUGGAGACUGUCAGUACACGUUUCUGUAUAUGGAAGUUAGGCAAGACCGCACCUUGUUCCAGUUGUGAAAAUCCAUAUUCAUAGUUGCCAUGACCUGGAAACCUUGGCUUGGCUCCAUGCAGUGACUUAACAAGUAGAUUUGUGUAUGUUUGUUUAUUUGACCAUGUCCGCUUGUACCCGGUGGAUCUUCAAAACCUAUGUGCAUAUUAUAUUUUAAUAUUUUCAACAGAAAAAAUAUGUCACUAAACAGGAUUCUUUGCUAGCAUGGAUGCUUUGUGGAAAAAACUAUCCAAGUUUUCAAAGUGUACUUAGGCAAUGAGGUGUGUUGGGAGGUGGAUGAAGGCAGCUGCACCAACAUGUCAGUCAAACACCAGUUAUGGAAUGGAAAUCAAGUCUCAUGAGUGCUUGAGCCCCAUCCUGCUGCUUACAUUUAUUGAGCACUUACUGCAUUUUAGGUAUUCUGCUGUGAAGUGAAGAUGCAAAACCGAGCACCACAUGGAUCUUAUCCUUACUGAGAUCAUAGUUUAGGGUCCAGCUAAUUUUUAAUCAUUGUGAGCAAGAUGGCAAAUUCUAGACAGAAAGAGAUACGUACAGCAUAGUAGACGUGGAGCUCUGUAAGGAUCCUGUUCAUUCCAGCCUGUGUGCACUGCCAGGUCCCUCCCACACAACUAAGAAGCCAACCAGUGAUUUCUCUGCUGUGCAGAGAAGGACAGAGAAUGAUUGUUUGGGCACUUUUAUCCAAGUUUCUUUUCUUCUGAUCAAGGGAUAGGUAAAUAGCUAAGUGGUAAGUAGGGAGGAGUGGGUUUUGGAGAUGGGCAUUUAAGUGGUUUUAAAUCUUUUGUCAUGGUAAAAAUAUACUGCAGUAUAAAAGCUUUGAAUAUAUGUCCUUUUAUUUAUGUAGGAGUAUAUGUGUGAAGAAUAAGUUCCAAUAGGCAAAGCUGUUAGGAAAAAGGAUGCGUACAUUUCUAAUUUUGACAUUCAGGGCAGGGAAAAAAGCGCUUUACAGUUGUGAGUGUGGGAAACGCAGACUUAAUCCUUAUAUUAUUUAUUGAUUACUGUAUUAUUUUCCAUCCAAACAAUUGUAAACCUACUUUUGACCCCACCCUGUAUAUUGCCAAAUUAUUCUAAGAAAUUAUCCAAAUUUGCACUCCCACUAGCAAUCAUGAAAGGGUCUAUUUCCAUACAAUCAUGCCAGUGAAGACUUGUGACCCUUUUUGGUACAUGCCAGUUUGAUAUGUGAAAGCAGUAUCUCGUUGCAGUUUAAUUUCCACUGAUCGUGUUAUGGAUGCACUAGGGGUACACGUGAAAUAUAGGAGAACAAAAGGACGUCUUUUGUUUUCUGUGAACUACCUGUGAAUAUCCCUUUCCAUUGAAUUAAUGAUUUUUUGUGUGUGUUUACUUAUUAGCAGCAGUUUUUCUUUAAUUAGGGAAAUUCAUUUUUUUUUGUGUGGUACAGCAUACCUUGGAUUUACAUUUCAUGGUCAUACUACUGUAUUGAACACAUAAACAAAACAUCAUUUCUGAUGAUAGAAUCUUCAGAACUGGAAAAUCUUUUGCCUUAUUUCUCUAUUUCCAUGUGGGAUACUGCCUUUUGUU